GUGUCUCAGUUGGGGAAGAUUCUCUUAUAUAUGAUUCAACCAUAUCUGGUGGAAUGCAAAUUGGUUCCCAAUCUGUAGUUGUUGGAAUUAAUGUCCCAGGAGACAUUGGUGCGGUGGCAGAAAAUUCAUUCAGAUUCAUGCUUCCAGAUCGUCAAUGUCUUUGGGAGGUUCCUCUAGUCGAAUGUACAGAAAGAGUCAUAGUGUAUUGUGGCCUCCAUGAUAACCCAAAAAUUUCACUUUCCAAGGAUGGGACUUUCUGUGGGAAACCCUGGAAGAAAGUCUUGCAUGAUUUGGGGAUUGAAGAAAGUGACCUGUGGAACUCAGUGGGUUCUCAGGAGAAGUGCUUAUGGAAUGCUAAAAUAUUCCCCAUUCUUUCUUACUUUGAGAUGCUUAGUUUGGCCUCGUGGUUGAUGGGUUUGGGUGACCCAAAAACUAAAAGUUUGCUUUCCUUGUGGAAAAAUUCACGCCGUGUCAGUUUGGAGGAGUUGCAUAGAUCAAUUGACUUUUCAAAAAUGUGUACAGGCUCAAGUAGUCAUCAUGCUGAUCUUGCAGCUGGAAUUGCUAAGGCUUGCAUUAACUAUGGCAUGCUUGGACGAAACUUGUUCCAAUUGUGUCAGGAAAUUCUACAGAAGGAAGCUUCAGGAGUCGAAAUAUGCAAGGACUUCUUGGAACUGUGUCCCAAACUUCAGGAGCAGAAUUCUAAAAUUCUUCCCAGGAGUCGGGCAUAUCAGGUGCAAGUUGAUCUUCUUCGAGCAUGCGGAGAUGAAAAAACUGCAUGCCAGUUGGAACAUAAAGUUUGGGCUGCAGUCGCUGAUGAAACUGCUUCUGCAGUGAGAUAUGGUUUUAAAGAACAUCUCUUGGAGUCUCCUGGCAGCUUGCCUGCUUCGGAAUAUGAGAACAAUCACAUUGAUGACUCUCUCAGUCAAUCUUUCUGCGCUAGAAGGGUAAAGGUUGAGUUACCAGUUCGUGUAGAUUUUGUUGGGGGAUGGAGUGACACUCCUCCAUGGAGCUUGGAGCGUGCUGGAUGUGUUCUGAAUAUGGCAAUAAGUUUGGAUGCUUGUCUUCCCAUUGGCACAAUCAUAGAGACAACAGAAAAGACUGGAGUGUUCAUUAAUGAUGAUGCUGGAAACCAGUUAUACAUUGAGAAUGUUACCUCAAUAGCACCUCCAUUUGACGAUGACGAUGUAUUCCGGCUUGUCAAAUCUGCAUUGCUUGUGACUGGUGUUAUUCACAAAAACAUUCUUGCAUCCAUGGGCUUGCGAAUCAAGACAUGGGCAAAUGUACCUCGUGGUAGCGGCCUGGGAACUUCGAGCAUCCUAGCAGCUGCUGUUGUGAAAGGCCUCCUUCAGAUAACUGAUGGAGAUAAAAAUAAUGAAAAUGUUGCUAGACUGGUUUUGGUAUUGGAACAACUCAUGGGGACAGGAGGUGGGUGGCAGGAUCAAAUUGGAGGUUUGUACUCUGGUAUUAAAUUUACUACAAGUUUCCCUGGAAUACCAUUGAGGCUCCAAGUCGUCCCCUUAUUGGCUUCUUCUCAGCUGAUAUCAGAAUUGCACCAGAGAUUGCUUGUUGUGUUUACUGGUCAAGUUCGACUUGCACAUCAAGUUCUACAGAAAGUAGUUACUAGAUACCUUCAGCGGGAUAACCUUCUUGUAUCCAGUGUUAAGCGCCUUGCUGAACUGGCAAAAAUUGGGAGAGAGGCUUUAAUGAACUGUGAAGUGGACGAACUAGGGGAGAUAAUGCUGGAGGCCUGGAGGUUGCAUCAGGAACUUGAUCCGUACUGCAGCAAUGAAUUGGUUGAUAGGCUAUUUGCAUUUGCUGACCCCUACUGCUGUGGCUACAAACUUGUGGGUGCUGGUGGUGGGGGCUUUGCGUUGUUACUUGCUAAGGAUGCUAAUGCUGGAAAGGAACUGAGACAUAAGCUAGAAGAAUGUUCAAAUUUUGAUGUGAAAGUCUACAAGUGGAACCUCUUUUUAGACAAUUAGACGUAUAAAUAUGACCAUAAAUACCUCUUAUUAUUCUUUACACAGACCUUUGUAUAAUUCUUUAUGAUAGGUUUAUAAGAUGAUUUAUGUAUGGAUUACGAGCGAUAAGUGUGUGAUACAAGGAACUAAAAAUUAUUUGUAUGUUGACUAUA
rnacentral:misc_RNA from 1 species